rnacentral:rRNA from 1 species
UGGGGAAUAUUGGACAAUGGGCGCAAGCCUGAUCCAGCCAUACCGCGUGGGUGAAGAAGGCCUUCGGGUUGUAAAGCCCUUUUGUUGGGAAAGAAAUCCAGCUGGUUAAUACCCGGUUGGGAUGACGGUACCCAAAGAAUAAGCACCGGCUAACUUCGUGCCAGCAGCCGCGGUAAUACGAAGGGUGCAAGCGUUACUCGGAAUUACUGGGCGUAAAGCGUGCGUAGGUGGUCGUUUAAGUCUGUUGUGAAAGCCCUGGGCUCAACCUGGGAACUGCAGUGGAAACUGGACGACUAGAGUGUGGUAGAGGGUAGCGGAAUUCCUGGUGUAGCAGUGAAAUGCGUAGAGAUCAGGAGGAACAUCCAUGGCGAAGGCAGCUACCUGGACCAACACUGACACUGAGGCACGAAAGCGUGGGGAGCAAACAGGAUUAGAUACCCUGGUAGUCCACGCCCUAAACGAUGCGAACUGGAUGUUGGGUGCAAUUUUGGCACGCAGUAUCGAAGCUAACGCGUUAAGUUCGCCGCCUGGGGAGUACGGUCGCAAGACUGAAACUCAAA